rnacentral:rRNA from 1 species
ACGGGAGAAGCAGAGCGUGACUCGAGGAACGCGCGCUUGUACCGCCGCAAUCCAUGGGACCAGCACAUGUCCUGCCACAAGCGCCGCGAGCCGACGGAGUACCACCCGUGGGACCACAUGUGGACGUAGUGGCUGCCGAGCGGCAAAGCGCGGCUCGACGACUGAGGCACCUACCACUGUUGUGACUAACUAAAAAUACAUUUAUACCGUCGUUAAAGCUGAACCCAACAGAUGUUCCUUCCUUUAACCUAAUCAAGAUAGAAGACCCAUCAUGACAACUAAACAGAACCGUCACGGUGAUGUACACGAAUAUAACAAUCGUUCAAUAAACUCUAUUGUAGAAGUCCCGAAAGGGUUUUAGGUGAACUAGAAAACGACGAGUCCGUUCUAUUAGAUGGGCUUUCCUUCACAAGAAAACAGCAGUAGCCCUCUUGAUAAAAGUCGUAAAACCCGUAUGAGUACCGACGUGAACAGUGCAUAUGACAGUAAUGUCUACCUAACGGAAAGUCCUUCCUAAACAACUGUGGCACCUACCGACGUUGGAAUUAACUGAAGAUAUAUUUAUAGAAACGUUAUAGCCAUACCCAACAAGUGUCCCUCAGCUGAACCUAGAGUCGUCAGUAAACCUAUACGAACAACUAUACGAAACCUUCGUAGUGUUGUACACCGAUAUAACACCAAGUUGAAGAGGUUCACAGUAUGGUUCUGGGUCAGAUGGUAGACGAUGACUUAAGGGUAUCGUUCAUACCUUAGCGUGGGAACGUCAUUAGCAGCUAGGAGAAGAUGAUAGGACCAAUCGAAUGUUAACCACAUUUAAGACGAGCUGUACGUUAGUAAAUACACCGUAAAUGGACUAACUUUACAUCCUUCUAGACUUUUGAGUAACUUCUCUAUACAAGAACCAUGUGUUAUUACAGGGGAGACAGAUAUUUCCACGGUGUUAUUUUCCCAUAUGGUCUCAUCGUUAAUCUCUUCAAAAAAGAAACACCUUACUUUACUAAAGAAUUGCUUCAACUUCGAGGAACAAUACCAGAGUUUCCACCAAAACAUUAACAUAUAGUUUAAAUUAACGAACCGUUUACUAUCUGUCGUCCAAAAAAGAAAAAAUGCUUAUACGGCUUCCGAACGCAUAGCAAAGUAACUGUCACGCUCUCUUUCACGUCCCCUAUGUUCUCCGUAAUGUCCUCGUGCAUGUUCUUGCGCUGCACUCACAUGGUUCCUUUUUACUUUAUCCGUGUGGUUGUUCAGGGAUGGUGACCCGAUAUCGGAUCGUAAGAGAACAGUAUAACGAGACGGUUUUA